ACUCCUACGGGAGGCAGCAGUGGGGAAUAUUGCACAAUGCGCGCAAGCCUGAUGCAGCAACGCCGCGUGCGGGAAGAAGGCCCUAGGGUUGUAAACCGCUUUCAGCAGGGAAGAAAAUGACGGUACCUGCAGAAGAAGGUGCGGCCAACUACGUGCCAGCAGCCGCGGU
rnacentral:rRNA from 1 species